CCCAGUGGAAACUCACAGAUGUGGUUCAUGGAACAACAUUUCACACAUAACGGAUGUGCACAGACCUUUGGAGCAGCACAAUGUUCCAUAGCAUCCGCUGCAAUGCAACCCUGCUCUGCAAAUCGAAGAUCCGAUGCUAACAACAGUGGAAGAUGAGACCCACAGAGAAUGAGAAAUCGAGACUCAUCAGACCAGGCAACAUUUUUCCAGUCUUCACCUGUCCAAUUUUGGUGAGCUCUUGCAAAUUGUAUCCUCUUUUUCCUAUUUGUAGUGGAGUUUAGUAGUACCCGGUGGGGUCUUCUGCUGUUGUAGUCCAUCCGCCUCAAGGUUGUGCGUGUUGAGGCUUCACAAAUGCUUUGCUGCAUACCUCGGUUGUAACGAGUGGUUAUUUCAGUCAAAGUUGCUCUUCUAUCAGCUUGAAUCAGUCGGCCCAUUCUCCUCUGACCUCUUGCAUCAACAAAGCAUUUUCACCCACAGGACUGCCGCAUACUGGAUGUUUUUCCCUUUUCACACCAUUCUUUGUAAACCCUAGAAAUGGUUGUGCGUGAAAAUCCCAGUAACUACCUACCUACCUGGAACAUUUUCCACCAGCCGCCAUUGUAAUCGUUUCUACACAACAUAUAUGCUGAAUACAUUACUCAGGGUCGGACUACUAGAUUAAUAGCAAAUCUCGGAACCGGUCAAAUCCCUUAUUAGACCGGGACAAGAGACAAUACCUCCGGGGUAUAGUGUAGCCAGCAGACAUCGGGUUCUGGACCGGUGUGCUAUUUGUCGUUCACAGUCUGAUUAUCAACUUGAGAUACAAGAUUGGAGUUGGUAUUGAUAGAUGACUUGUCCAACCGGGUUGUUUCACAAGUUUAAACACUCAUUUGAAAGCCACAAUGAAGUUAAAUCUUUGUUAGGCACCCAAUGGGUUCCGAGUUUGGAUUUGGGCCAAUGUAUCCACGUCUAUUGCUCUUCACUGUUUAACUGCAUUCAACCAAAGCUUGUUCAAACAAGUGUAGGCAAUACUACUUGGACUAUGACCUGAUUCCGUCCCUGCAGUUUCUGCAUAUGAAUGCAGACAGCCAAAUGGACUAUUCAGCCAUUCAUUGGCAGUACGAAGGUUGUGUUGAAACAUGCAGAUCAACGGAAACUUUUUCCGCGCACGCUGCCUUGACUUUUAGCUGCCAAAUCCCUGCUGACCAUAUCUGCUGCCGAAGGAAUGAUUUUUUACAACCAGAGAGAGUUUGAUUCUCAAGAGAAUUUGUGUGUAGAGAAUUUCAAGUCAAAAUCAUAUGGUCCUUAGUGUGCCCAGGAAAAUCAAUAAAAAAUCUGUACACCUAUUUACACCUACUUAUCUUAUUGCAUCGUUAUCACAAGUAUAAUCCUGCGCAGAUUGUCAAAAUUACGUUUUUUCUGACUUCUCAAGGCAGCCUCGUUACGUGUGACAGAUUUAGUCAGAUAUUGCCUGCAGUCCAGCAUGUGACUCCUACAAAAUUAGUAUCAGCAGGCCAGCCUGGCUAAAAAGGUUGAAUUUCGAGCUACAGGUGUGACCUGCUUAGGCCAUGAUUCAAUUAUCCAAAUGGACAAAGCUGUAGCUUGUACGGUUUGAUAUAUUGUCCGUGCAAACAUUUCAGUGAGCUGCUCCAUUGUUGAUAUACAGAAGAGGGAGCAGAACGGUUAUCUGUUGACUGGCAACAGUGUGGGCUGUAACAUUGGGAUAGCCCAGAAGCAGAUAGUAAAGAACCAGAGAUUGGUUUCAAGGCUUUUGGGUUGCCCUGCUGAUUCUCAGCUGAAUCAAAUUUUGAAAGGUUCACAUAAACUACAAACACAUAUUGUUUUACCUACUGUACCUAUGAAGGAAAUAUGCUCUGAUGCUGUCGUGGUUCUGUUUCUGCUCUUUAUCUCCUCUCUCCACCGGCCUGAGCAACGUGGCCUGGAUCCUCCAGCAGCGUGGUGUCGCCGUAGGCCUCUAGCAGACCAGGGUGGCAAAUUCGGAGCUCCAACCACCAACCAGUCGAAAGCAGCCGCAUGGCCAGAUCUCGGUGAUUAUGAAUCCCACUGCGCUUCAUGACAUGGCUUGCUGCAUCCAAGCAAUAGGAUUGCCCAAGGGUCCCUUCUCACCUCCUGUUCACCUGAUUGCCCUGAACAAAUGGCUAUCCUGACCAGUCCCUGAGUUCAAUGCCAAACUUUGAGCAUGAAAAGAUGAACGGAAACCUCACAUAAAAAUCAAAAUAGACUGCUUACGGUAUGGAUUCGAUCAUGGUACCAAGAGGCUUUCUCAGCUACACAGGGCUUGUCUUGCCAAUAAGAGCGGCAGAAUUCUGUAUAUUUUUGUCUUUGCUAAACAAGCCUUGCAUAUUUCUCAAAACACACAAUUGAGCAGAGAAGGUCACUUUCUUUAGUAGAAGCUUGUUUGCUCAAUUGAUCAACAAAGCAAUAAAAAUAGCUUAAAGUCACUUCUCCACAUCUCAGUCUGGCUUCCUGUGAAAGCAGUGUUUGUCCUUGAGACUCAUGUGGGUCCCUGUGAAUUAAACAGUAUGGUCGAGAAGUAUUGUCAUUUGGCGCUGUGACUAGACUUGUGGUUACCUGGUGUCAGGUGGUUUUUAACAGGAAUAUAACAGUGAGUCAUCGACUUGAGCAAGGACGUGUUUCCCAGGGAAAGGAUAUGAAUAGAGGUCCAUGAGAUCAUCUCAAGCAACUACAGAGAGUUUUUUGAGAUUGAAAAGUUAGAUGCAAAGUUAGAUGCAAAGUACAGAGAUUCCUGCAGUCAUUUUGUGGUUGGGACAAUGGUUGGUGCCAACACAGGAUGCAGAUGAGUUUCGAAGUUAAGAAACAGUCAUGGGAUAAAAAGCUGCACAUUCUCACUGUGGGAACAUUUGAGAUGGUUCCAGUCACAGAAAAACUAAAUGUGACACUGAAAGUGUACGUUCUGUUAAACAAAGUUUGCAUGUUCUGAUGGCUGAGGGGAGGUAACCAAUCGGCCACAUUUGUGCAGCUGUGGAGUAAUUGACUGUGGUGUAGUUGAAGGCGUUCUGUUGGUUCACAGGUUUUCAAGGUCAGAGGAAUCACAGCUGUCUGACGUCAAGAGCCUCAAGGGCAGCCGUUCUGCAUGCAACCGUUUAUGUAUGAGCAUAGGUGAAUCAGCUUUAAAGGCAGGUACUGAUUUCAUAUGAAAUCUACAAACUUAUGUGAUUUAACACUCUUGUCUGUAAUACUAUAUGGUUUGUGCUUGUGCUGAAAACACACGUUUUCAAGAAAGGGUAAAAAAUACAUAUUUUGUUUUUGUUGGUGUGUUUUAACUCUUAUGAACAAGCAAAAUGUGUUAUUAACAAACUUCAUUGUUAUUUUACUAGUUUACUAAAUGUGUAACUACUCUUUAAAACCUACAACAUGCAACAGAUAACGUGUGCGCAAUAUGUUUUACAACCACACAGACACACACACAGCCUCUGCUCCUCCUGCCCUCUCUGCCAGCUGUUCAGCUGCAUACGUGCCGUCUCACACAUCCACCCACAGCCUUCUUCUCAAACUAGUUAUUAUCAAAGCAAAUGCCUAGAUAACAGACUCUGGUGUGUCUCUUCUUCACAUUCAAAAGUGUUUUAAGAUCAUUCAUUUAUUGCUAACGCACUUGAUCAAAACACAAAUUUAUCUUUUCUCACGUUUUCCUGUCUUUUAUUGUCAUUUUCUGUUUAGCUUCCACACCCUAUUUAGGGUGUAUUGGACAAAAGGUGAUAUUGUAGUGAAUGUGACUUCAGAAUUCACGCUUGUUCUUAGUGUGGUUCUACACACUGUUGUUUCAUGCAGUUAUUUUGUCUGCAUGGUUUGACCAUGUUAACGUGGAUCUGGUUGGCCCUCUGCCCUCCUCUUCUGGUUUCACCUACCUGUUGACCAUGGUUGACAGGACCACCCGUUGGCCUGAGGCUGUGCCACUGACAUCGUUGGCAGCUGUUGAUGACACGGGCAUUUAACGGCACCUGGGUUGCCCGUUUCGGCACCCCUUCGGACAUAUCCUCUGACCGGGGCGUGCAGUUCACGUCUGAGCUGUGGAACACGGUGGCCCAGAGCCUCGGAGCGAAACUCCACCGUACGACUGCAUACCACUGCACUACUGGACAAUGCGAGGCUUUUCGCACCUGUCCCUACUUCCCGUCACGGCCUCCCUCAGUUGCACAUCCCUGCUGGGCUUCAGACGGCUGAAUACGUCUUUAUUCGCCACGACGCUCACAGGGGACCGCUACGCCCGCCCUACGAGGGCCCAUUCCGUGUCUUGGAGACGGGAGACAAACAUUUUGUGAUGGAAAUGGGUGGUAAACCGGAGCGACUCUCCAUUGACCGCCUCAAACCAGCUCAUUUGGACGUUGCUAGGCCCAUUUGAUAAUUAUUUUUUUUAUAUGGUGAAUUCUGGGGGGACGUGUGUAGUGAAUGUGACUUCAUAAUUCACCCUUGUUCUUAGUGUGGUUCAACACACUGUUGUUUCAUGCAGUUAUUUAAGUAAUGUGUUAUACACGUAAGUACAACUGUUCUGGGAUCGCGCCCCCUUUAAAUAUUCUGUUGUUGAGGAAUGAGAGCCCCAUGUUUGUGAGAUUACAGGGCUGCGCCAUAUUUGUUUGUUUGUUCAUUCGUUUUGUCAUGUAAAAAUAAACGAGACACACACUUGUGUACU
ensembl:lncRNA